AGACUCUAUACUCUAAUUUCUCAUUUAAAAGAAAUUGGACUGUUACAAAAUAAACAUGACAUGAACCCAGAAUUUAACUUACUAUUUUCUUACUGUUAUCCCAAAGACAUUACAUGAUAUUGAACACUUUGAGGUAAUUAUGGUACUGGGGGAGCAUAAUUGUUCCUACUAAUAGAAACAAAAUACUAAGGAUUUUUCUAGAAACUCUCCUUUCAAAAGCCAUUUACCUGGCUAAGGAUUUUUCUAGAAACUGUCCUUUCAAGAGCCAUUUACCUGGAAUAAAAGUGAUGUGUAUGAUAAACAGUUGGCUAUACAGACCCAAGAUGAAAUUCAAAAUAUGACUUCUGAAAAUUCUGAAUUCAAAAUCAAGUUUUUGAUACUUUAGGAUCAGCUAGAUGAUCAUCAUAAAUUUGUCUCCUUUCCACUUCAAUUUUUUUUCAUCUUCACCAAUCUACACUAUAUUCAAGCCAACUUACCAUUUCCCUUACUCCGUUUUCCCUGCAACUUCCCUAAGCUGUUAGUGUUAUUGUACUACUCUUCUUUAUGCCACUUAGGCUUGAAUUCUUGGCCCAAUUUCUUUCACUUCUGCAUGAAGUCACCAAAUGCCAGUGAUUCUGCUUCUAACAUAUUUCAGACAUCAUUUCUGUCCAUUCCCACUACCAGAAAGAAACUCUGUAUUAGUUUUUCUUUUACCUUUAUUGACCUUUUAUAAUAGCAUUUAUGGUGUGUUGAAUUGUGGACCCCCAAAAAUAUGUCCAAGUCUUAACCCUGGUGCCCAUAAAUGUGACCUUAUUUGGGAAAAGAGUCUCACAGAUGAAAUUAAGUUAAAGAUCUUACCCUGGAUUAACCAGGUAGAUGCUAAAUCGAAUAAAAAAGUGUCUGUACAGGAAGAGAAGAGGAAAAUCACAGAGAAGAAAGCCAUGUGAAGAUGGUAACAGACACUGGAGUCUGUAACCCCAAGUGUAAAGCGACGGGUUCUCCACCAGGUUACUUAAGGGUGUAUGUCCACUGCUUGAGCCCUGAAGACUGGGUGGUGAGCCAAGGUCUUAGUGCUCAGCCAAGGAACACCAUGUGCUGUGUUCCCUGAGAACACAAACAUUUGGGAGAGUACCUGGGGACAUACCAAGAAAAACACUCAUCACACACAGAGAAGAAAAGCCAGAAAAUUAGCUUAAAAGCAGCUUGAAGAUGGGUGGGGUAAGGGGGUGUGUGGGGCAAAUCUCCAGAGUUGUCCUGCUACCACCUAGGAAUGCCCUGUAUGUUAAGUCCUAAUAAACUCACCUACUCAUC
rnacentral:lncRNA from 1 species